AUUAUUCCUUUUGCCUGGAAUGCUCUUCAUUCAAGCCUUGGCCAAAGGUCACCUCUUCAGAGAAGUCUUCCUGACUCCUCUGUGUGUGUAAAAGUGUUCCCCUCAGCCCUGUCUCUUCAUUGUGCUUUACUUUUUUCAAGAUUAAUGCAUGCAUGAUUUGGAUACUACAUCGUGAGAGAAGAGAUUUGUUAAAUUUCUUUUGCCUUGGGAAAGUUAAGGAUCACAGAUAAUCCAAACCUCAGUGCCAAGUCCUCUGAUUUACAAUCGAGGAGUUAUUCACACAGAGGGCCUCCGUGCAGCUGCUGCAGCCCGAGGAGUGCACCCCCCGCCCCAGCACCCCCAGAGGCACCAUCAGAACACACAGCACGGGCCCGGAUCAGUUCCCUAUACACCCCGGCGCUUUAUUUUAAGCUGCAUGUGAA